rnacentral:rRNA from 1 species
UUCCGUAGGUGAACCUGCGGAAGGAUCAUUGUCGAAACCUAGCACAGCAGUACGACCCGUGAACAAGUUUAUUCACCGCGUAAGGUGCCAUGUGCUCUGAACGCAUGCCUUCGUUAGUUGCUAUGCUCUUACGGAGGCCACACAAACCAACCCCGGCGCGGAAUGCGCCAAGGAAAAUGAAUGUAGAAGUGAGAAUGCCACAAUCAUCCCAGAAAUGGUGUGUGAUUUGGUGUUUCUCCUUUCAUAAACAAAACGACUCUCGGCAACGGAUAUCUCGGCUCUCGCAUCGAUGAAGAACGUAGCGAAAUGCGAUACUUGGUGUGAAUUGCAGAAUCCCGUGAACCAUCGAGUCUUUGAACGCAAGUUGCGCCCAAAACCUUCUGGUCGAGGGCACGUCUGCCUGGGUGUCACGCAACGUCGCUCCCUCUCUCCCUCCCUUAUUUGGGAUUCGUGAGUUGGUGCGGAAAAUGUCCUCCCGUGAACCUUGUGAUUGCGGUUGGCCUAAACAUGAGACCAAGUCGGCCAGUGCCGUGGCAUUCGGUGGUUGAAAAUACCCUCAUUUUGCCUCGUUCAUUUGGUCACUAGAUUACAUCUCAACGACCCACUUUGUUUUCGACGCGACCCCAGGUCAGGCGGGAUUACCCGC